rnacentral:rRNA from 2 species
GGUUAAGCGACUAAGCGUACACGGUGGAUGCCCUGGCAGUCAGAGGCGAUGAAGGACGUGCUAAUCUGCGAUAAGCGUCGGUAAGGUGAUAUGAACCGUUAUAACCGGCGAUUUCCGAAUGGGGAAACCCAGUGUGAUUCGUCACACUAUCAUUAACUGAAUCCAUAGGUUAAUGAGGCGAACCGGGGGAACUGAAACAUCUAAGUACCCCGAGGAAAAGAAAUCAACCGAGAUUCCCCCAGUAGCGGCGAGCGAACGGGGAGCAGCCCAGAGCCUGAAUCAGUGUGUGUGUUAGUGGAAGCGUCUGGAAAGGCGUGCGAUACAGGGUGACAGCCCCGUACACAAAAAUGCACAUACUGUGAGCUCGAUGAGUAGGGCGGGACACGUGGUAUCCUGUCUGAAUAUGGGGGGACCAUCCUCCAAGGCUAAAUACUCCUGACUGACCGAUAGUGAACCAGUACCGUGAGGGAAAGGCGAAAAGAACCCCGGCGAGGGGAGUGAAAAAGAACCUGAAACCG